rnacentral:lncRNA from 1 species
UGAGAAGAUGGCCUCUCCCUAUUCCUGUCUUACCUGCUGGAGGGAUCCCCAAGCAGAGUUGCUGAUGCCACAGAAAAGGAAGGGAAAGCCAUGUCGAUUGGAAAUGUGAUAUUAUUCAGCCUGCUUUCAUGACCUCAGGAACUGCAGCAAGCUCGUUUCAGGAUCCUGCUGUCCCCAGCUGGUGUUUGCUCAGUGGCGUCUACUCUCCCACGAAUCUCCUUUCCAACUUCAGGCUUUAUGGCUCAGCUAAAGAAAAAUGUCACCACUCUGGGAAAACAGCAGGAUGACUGAUAUUUCUGGAGUGAGCAAGACACUGGAGCAUGACAGGGACAGUGUUUGGUGCAUCGGAAGACUCGCUUGAAGGGAUUUUUUUUUUUUCUGUGACUCUUUCUUGUCUCCCAAAUGUGCUGUGUCUAAAUUUCAUAUUUAACUCUCCGGGCGAGACAGAGAAACCUUCAAGACGCUCAUGCAUCCCUCCCACUGAGG